UACGGAGGAUGCGAGCGUUAUCCGGAUUUAUUGGGUUUAAAGGGUGCGUAGGCGGACGCUUAAGUCAGCGGUAAAAUUGCGGGGCUCAACCUCGUCGAGCCGUUGAAACUGGGUGCCUUGAGUGGGCGAGAAGUACGCGGAAUGCGUGGUGUAGCGGUGAAAUGUAUAGAUAUCACGCAGAACUCCGAUUGCGAAGGCAGCGUACCGGCGCCCUACUGACGCUGAAGCACGAAGGCGUGGGUAUCGAACAGG
rnacentral:rRNA from 1 species